rnacentral:rRNA from 1 species
GACGAACGCUGGCGGCGGGCUUAACACAUGCAAGUCGAACGGAAAGGCCCUGCUUGUGUGGGGUGCUCGAGGGGCGAACGGGUGAGUAACACGUGAGUAACCUGCCCUUGACUUUGGGAUAACUUCAGGAAAGUGGGGCUAAUACCGGAUAGGAGCUCCCGCUGCAUGGUGGGGGUUGGAAAGUUUCGGCGGUUGGGGAUGGACUCGCGGCUGAUCAGUUAGUUGGUGGGGUAGGGACUUACCAAGGCGUUGACCGGUAGCCCGCCUGAGAGGGUGACCGGCGACAUUGGAGGGGAGACGGGCUCCAUAGUACUACGAGAGGGACCAGACUCGAACGGGAGACAGCGGUGGCAAGUCUGAUACAGUGGGCGGGCGUGGGAUACGACGGCGCCGCGUUUGGAAAGACGGCCUGCGGGUUGUAAACCGCUUUCGCCUGUGACGCAGCGGUACUGACGGUACUGGAUGAAGAAGCACCGGCUAACUACGUG